UACACUUUCAAUUUUGCAAAAACAUCUUAAAAUUAAGAAGCAGUACACCAAAUUAUAUGGUGUAUGGGGAACUCGGAAGAUUCUCUUUGGAAACUAUUGUUAAACGUAAAAUGGUGUUGUUUUUGGAAUAGUUUAUUAUUGGAGAAUAACAAUUUAUCUUCAAUUAUGUAUAAAUUAAUGCUCAAAUUACAUUUUCAAUACCCCACAAAAUUUAAAUGGAUUACGUACGUUAAAUCCAUAUUUGACGAAAAUGGAAUUAGUUUUAUUUGGCAAAAUCAACUUCCAUUGGAUAAAUUGGGUUUAAAGAACAUUAUUUCACAAAAACUGAAGGAUCAAUUUAUCCAACAUUGGUUUUCACAAAUGAAUAACUCUUCAAGAGGUUCAUUUUAUUCAGAUUACAAACAGGAAUUUCGUUUGGAAACCUAUUUAAUAAAGUUGAAGCUGUGUGACAGGAUUUAUAUAGCAAAAUUCAGAUGUUCAAAUUUAAAAUUUCCUGUAGAAACUGGAAGAUGGUCUGGAAUACCAAAAAAUGCGCGAAUUUGUCAUUUCUGUUGAAAUGGUAUAGGAGAUGAAUUUCAUUAUCUUUUCAAAUGUCAAAAACAGGAAAUAAAACUGCUUAGAAAUAAAUGUAUGCCACAAUAUUAUACUGCAAAUCCAACGGAGUACAAAUUUAUACAGCUUUUAACAUUCUGUCAUGUAGAACUUUACAAAAACUUAGCAAUAUUUUUAAAAAUACUUACACG
rnacentral:lncRNA from 1 species